AGCAGGAAAGGAUGAGAUAAAACCUACAGAUGAUGAAAAAAAUAUAUACAUCCUGUUUGUUUUCUGUACAAAACAAAAGGAUUUCUGCAUCCAUCAAUCAUUCAAUCCUUUGAAAGGACUUCUGGGAAACUGACCUCAGAGGUUUUGCUACCAAAGGGGGCCUGUCCCAGAAUGCACCUCACUGGCACAUUGGAUUAUUUUGAGCUUAAGACCAUUGAGGCCCAGACUCAGGAGAGCUUCUUUCCUCCCCCUUUCCUGCUUCUAAGAAAUAAGGUUGAGGGCCUGGUGAAGAAGAGAGCCACCACCAGAGGAGUUUCAUCUGUAUGAUCUCUGGCCACAGCAGAAGACAUUUAGAGACAGAGAAUGUUCACCUUCACAGCUUGAGUUAUUUGCAGGCUGAAGAUGGGCACAUUGCCCUGCCUGGAGUCACCGGUCUGGCCCCUGCUGUUGGCCAGGCUGUCUGAAACCCUGCCCACCGCCUGGCCCCUGGAGGGAGAAGCAGUAGAGGGAGGGGAAUGAUGGCUGACUCGCUGCACCCUAACGUGGCUGCCAUCCUGUGUCAGCUAAGCAGUCCCUGUGCAGAGCACGUGGAACCCUCCCAGGAGCCUUGGACGGGUCACAGCAGUAAUCAAAACUGAGCUGCUUAAGCAGUCCCAGCAAGCAGGGAAAUGCAGCCAGUGGCCUUCCAUUUACUCUCUUUCAAAAAAUGAAGAAAAAAGACAUUCAGCACAGGUGGCAUUUAAAAAGGAAAAAUCAAACCAGUAUAACAGAAGCUGGGGGAGGAGGGAACUCGUGCAGCAACAGUCCCCUCUGAGCCCAAGGAAGGCAGUAAGAGUUCUCAUUUAACCUCAGAAAAUGACUUGAGAAUCACUUGUACUUUGAAACGGUUCUAAAUUGCAAACUAAUUUCCCGGUGGGAUAUGUUGAUGGCCUACUGUACACAGCAUGAAUAAUGAGUUUGCAACCAGGACCCCAAAUAAAGCCAUGCACAUUGGUGGAAUUUAUGAACAAUUUUCCUCCAUCUGACGCUGCAGUGUUAACGCUUUCCGUCAGAUUCUGCUGUGUGAGCAGGUGAGUCCCCGGGCACCACAUGAAGCUUUCAUGGAACACGCUGGUGGGAACAACCCCGCUGCUAGCCUGCAAGUCUCUGGGGUCAGGAUCAGGCUUCUAGAAUUCGUGGGCACAGACUGCUAUCCACCCUGAUUUCAGGUGUUCUUGGCUGUUUGACUUUGAAGGCUACACUUCAAAUUGACCAGGAUAAGAGAAAAUUCCUGUCUCGCACAGGAUUUUAGAAUGGGAUAUCAUAAUGGUGGCUAGUCACACCUUGUUACACCAGGAAGAAAUAUGAGAUGCCAGGGACUCCAGGGCUCAUUCUGUGAUCCACGUUCCUAAGUGGUGGAACUGGGGUUCUGACCUGGGGCUCUUCUGCUCCUGAGCGCUUUCCACCUGUGUCCCAUGAGGAUUCUGCAUUUUGUUGAAAAGUAAAAACUGAAUGCAAUAAAUUUUAUGUUUAAGAAGACUUAACACAAAUGUAAAUGUGAUAUACAGUUUACUGACAGAAAGCACAGCAUACAUCCUGGCGUGUGUGCAGCGGGGUGCACCGCCCUGCCUCCUCUGAGACCACUCAGGGGUCUGCACUCUGGGGCCACGUGCUCCCUCCACAGAGCAACACCCAA